rnacentral:rRNA from 1 species
UACGUAGGGUGCAAGCGUUAAUCGGAAUUACUGGGCGUAAAGCGUGCGCAGGCGGCUUUGCAAGACAGGUGUGAAAUCCCCGGGCUCAACCUGGGAACUGCAUUUGUGACUGCAUGGCUGGAGUGCGGCAGAGGGGGAUGGAAUUCCGCGUGUAGCAGUGAAAUGCGUAGAUAUGCGGAGGAACACCGAUGGCGAAGGCAAUCCCCUGGGCCUGCACUGACGCUCAUGCACGAAAGCGUGGGGAGCAAACAGG